GACGAACGCUGGCGGCGUGCCUAACACAUGCAAGUCGAACGGAAAGGCCCUGCUUUUGCGGGGUUCUCGAGUGGGGAACGGGUGUGUAACACGCGAGUAUCCUGCCCUUGACUUUGGGAUAACUUCAGGAGACUGGGGCUAAUACCGGAUAGGAGCUCCUGCAGCAUGGUGGGGGUUGGAAAGUUUCGGCGGUUGGGGAUGGACUCGCGGCUUACCAGCUUGUUGGUGGGGUAGUGGCUUACCAAGGCUUUGACGGGUAGCCGGCCUGGGAGGGUGGACGGCGACCUUAGUCCUGAGAUACGGAGCAGACGGGUACGGGAGGCAGCGGGGGGAAAUAUUACACAGUGGGGCGGAGUGUGUUGCGGCAGUGUCGCGAGCGGAAUGACCGCCUUCGGGGUAUGAACCGCUUUGGCCUGUGACGAAGCGGGAGUGACGGUACCGGGUAAAGAAGCACCGGCUAACUACGUG
rnacentral:rRNA from 1 species